UACGGGGGGGGCAAGCGUUGUUCGGAAUUACUGGGCGUAAAGGGCUCGUAGGUGGCCAACUAAGUCAGACGUGAAAUCCCUCGGCUUAACCGGGGAACUGCGUCUGAUACUGGAUGGCUUGAGUUCGGGAGAGGGAUGCGGAAUUCCAGGUGUAGCGGUGAAAUGCGUAGAUAUCGGGAGGAACACCAAUGGCGAAGGCAGCUCGCUGGGACGGUACUGACGCUGAGGCGCGAAAGCGUGGGGAGCAAACAGG
rnacentral:rRNA from 1 species